UAGCCAAGGAUGACUUGCCG
rnacentral:miRNA from 1 species